rnacentral:lncRNA from 10 species
UGUUCCUUAUUUACACUCUUGCCCCUUUCUUUAGCUGGAUUUAUAGUGACAAGGCCCUAGGGUGUGGCAGAUCCACAGAUGGCAUAAGGCUGAGUUCUUGAAUCACUGCAUAGAGGAACGGCACCAGGAAUGCUCACCUUGGCCGAUGUGUGAAUGGGAAAUAAACUUGCAUUGUAUGAAGACCCUGAACUUUCGGAGUUUAUUCGUUUUAGCAGGAGGAAAAAAGCACGUUUUGCGUUUCCCUUUGGCUUGAUGUAGCAGCUAAUGGUUGAUGAUGCUUGGUGGGGAAUAAUGGAGACAAGGAAGAUGCGUGUGAAUCCUGAACUCCAACUGGAGCUGGUGUGUCAGUUGGACAUGCUAAAGGCUAAAAGGGAAGUACCUCCAGCUUGCACUGCAUGACACCAUCAUCAUCAUAUUAACCACAUCGUCGCAGCCAGUGUGACCGUGCAUCUUGGUCUGACCGGGAAAAUUCCAGUUUAAUCCUAAGGUGCUGCCAUCAUUCUUAAUAACACACCUUUUUACUCUCAAAGCUGUCCCAAUGUGAUGAUAAAUGAUAUAGCCACUGAAGUCAUAAAUAAUAUUUAGUGAGCACUUGUUAUACACUAGGCAUUUACUUCAUAUACUGUUUGUUUUGUCUUCCCAACAACUUUAUGAAUUAGGUGUUCCUUUUAGCCCCAGUUUACAGAUGAUGAAAUUGAGGCAGCAUUUAAGAAACUUCCCAUGCUUAUCCAGCUUGAACCCAGCAGUCUGGC